CGCCAUUGUUGUUUUAGCAUCACUGUUGCAAACUUCAAGUCUCCGCUCUUAUUUUGCGAUUUGUUACACACUUCACGCAAGGUCAGCACCAUGUUCACGAGUGUGGCAAGCGUCUUUCAUCAAGUGCUGGAGAUAAACAAGGGAAAACCCCAACAAGAGCAGAUAACUCUAAUGACUUAGCUACCGGUAAGCUUUCAGAAAUGGUGGAUCCGCCCUUGAUUCUGUGCAGAGUAACAGAUGAGAGUGAUGGAGAUGGUGAUGCCACUACACCAGGCCGUCCAGGAUAUGUAAAGCGGAAUGGAGAUACAAUUCCCUGCAUACAUGUAAUUGAGGAUGUGCUGUGAGCAAGGAUGACAAUUUGCCAUUUCCCUGUGACAUGGAUGUAUUGGUGCUUUGUGCUGGUACUUGUAUAUCUCAUAAAAGUAUCACAGAUGUUCACCAUUGUCUUGGACAGGACUUGUUUCUUCCUAUAACCUCUGAGUCUUAGGAGGUGUUUCUCUUUCAUAGUAAGACCUGGUGAGUGUAGUAGAAGACAAAGUUUGGACAAUUUUCCUAAACCAACAACAAGAAAUGAAACCUUUUCAUUAUGGGUCAUUACGCCAUGGGAAUCGAACCCACAACCUCUUGAUCAGUAGUCAGGCACUCUAACCACUAGACCACAGAACUGGUUGAAGAAGUUUAGCAUAUAUUACCUGGCCAGAUAUAUUUUACGAGCAUUUCUAUAGACCAUUUUAACAUACUUUAUUACAUUACAUUAAACACACAUUAAUAAAUGUUUUGGCGGUUCAUAAGUCGGGUAAAACACUCCUCCUCGGUUGUAAGUUAACGUAUGGGAGUUACGAUCACCUUAGUGCUAAGAUUGCUACAACUGCACCCUGGCUAGUAAAACUUCCCUUACAUAAACAGUUCUAUUCCAGGAAUGUAGCUUACAUACCAGAAUAUUUUAUCGUCUAUGAAAAUAGAACAAUUCAUCUGACAUCACUUUUGAUGUUUGAUCGCUGUUUGAUGAUGUGUUGCGCAGUUUCCUGACUAUAUUUCCACAGUUGUUCAUUCUGCUCGGAAUAAGGAUGGAAGGAAUAGAACAUGUAUCCCACACCAUCUUUGUGUUUGCAGGGCAAAAUCAAAACAAAGACUUUUUUAUGAAGAAAACAGUUUAAUACCUUUACACACAGAUAAAUAUACAUUUCCAGCAUAACUCCUAUCCAUACCCCAUCCCCAGAAACAUAUUCCCACGGUUCUACAAAUCAUGUUCAAAACAACAGAAUUUCUUUCCUAUUUUCUGUGUAAGAAAUAGUGAUGAGCAAUAAACACAGUGUUCAGUCUAAAAAGUUCAAAUAAUAAUGUUCAAGUAUCAAUUGUAUUCAAA